GAGUAGCGCAGUUGUUAGCGCGCCGGCCUGUGGAACAAGGGGUUUCAGGAUCGAACCUGGCU
rnacentral:tRNA from 13 species